rnacentral:lncRNA from 1 species
GGGAAGGGUCAGGAUAAUCCAACGUCUCUGCCUCCUUCCUUCUUCUAUCCUGCCAAUCCCUACACCAGGGAACACUUAACCCAUACCUGCAGGCAUCCCAGGUUCUAAGAGAGACUCCUAAGCAGGAGAUAUACAGGUAUUUUGUACCGCUGUGCAGUGGGGAAAAAACCAAGGACUUGAUUCCAGAAGACCUGGGUUUGAAUCUGGACUCUUACUGGAAAGUCAGAAGAUUUAGACCUGAAAGGCCUUCUAACGUGUUCUGUUCCUUUUGACUUCUUCCCCUCUGAAGGAAGGAGGAGACCACUAGACCUGUCGGCCUCAUGGGGGACAAAGCACAAGGUGUCACCCUCUGACUAUUGAACAGGGUAAGUUUAGCACUAAUUCAUACAACAGAUAAUAAAUUUAUGGAAUUAUCAGAAAUAG